rnacentral:rRNA from 1 species
UCCAGAGUAAAGCUGAUCUGCUCUGGGUAAGUCGGGGCCUAAGGAGAGGCAGAGAUGCGUAUCCGAUGGACAGCAGGUUUAAGAUUCCUGCACCCCUUGUUAUCAGAACUGCGGGGACACGGGAAGGGAAGCAGAGCCGGGAAUGGAAAGCCCGGUGCAAGCGAAGUAGUCGCAGGGUUGGAAAAUCCGCCCUGCAUGAGACGAAGGCGUGAUGCGGAGCGAAAUGAAGUAGUGAAGCUGCGGCCCCUUCCUGUCGAGAAGAGCCGCUAUCGUGUAGCAAGGGCCCGUACCGUAAUCCGACACAGGUGGAUGAGGAGAGGAUCCUAAGGCCGGCGGGAGAAGUGUUGUUAAGGAACUCGGCAAAAUGACUCCGUAACUUCGGGAGAAGGAGUGCUGCGCAAGCAGCCGCAGAGAAAUGGCCCAAGCAACUGUUUAGCAAAAACACAGGUCUAUGCGAAACCGAAAGGUGAGGUAUAUGGGCUGACGCCUGCCCGGUGCUGGAAGGUUAAGGGGAGAGCUUAGCGCGAGCGAAGGUUUGAACUUAAGCCCCAGUAAACGGCGGCCGUAACAAUAACGGUCCUAAGGUAGCGAAAUUCCUUGUCGGGUAAGUUCCGACCCGCACGAAAGGCGUAAUGAUUUGGGCACUGUCUCAACAACACACCCGGUGAAAUUGAAAUACCAGUGAAGAUGCUGGUUACCCGCGCCAGGACGGAAAGACCCCAUGGAGCUUUACUCCAGCCUGAUACUGGGAUUCGGUAUUGCAUGUACAGGAUAGGUGGGAGGCUAAGAACUCAUGGCGCCAGCCGUGAGGGAGCCGAUGUUGGGAUACCACCCCUGCAGUACUGGGUUUCUAACCUGCGCCCGUGACCCGGGCGGGGGACAAUGUCAGGCGGGGAGUUUGACCGGGGCGGUCGCCUCCGAAAGGGUAUCGGAGGCGCUCAAAGGUCUCCUCAGGAUGGUUGGAAACCAUCCAGAGAGUGCAAAGGCAGAAGGAGGCUUGACUGCGACACCGACGGGUGGAGCAGGUACGAAAGUAGGACUUAGUGAUCCGGUGGCAUAAAGUGGGAUUGCCAACGCUCAACGGAUAAAAGCUACCCUGGGAUAACAGGCUUAUCACUCCCAAGAGUUCACAUCGACGGAGUGGUUUGGCACCUCGAUGUCGGCUCAUCGCAUCCUGGAGCUGGAGCAGGUUCCAAGGGUUGGGCUGUUCGCCCAUUAAAGCGGUACGCGAGCUGGGUUCAGAACGUCGUGAGACAGUUCGGUCCCUAUCCGGCGCGGGCGCAGGAUAUCUGAGAGGAGCUGUCCUUAGUACGAGAGGACCGGGAUGGACCGUCCGCUGGUGGACCGGUUGUCAUGCCAAUGGCACGGCCGGGUAGCCAAGACGGGAAGGGAUAAACGCUGAAGGCAUCUAAGCGUGAAGCCCCCCUCAAGAUGAGAUAUCCAUACUCGAAAGAGUGAGAGACCCCUUAGAGACGAUGAGGUAGAUAGGGCAGAGAUGGAAGUGCAGCGAUGCAUGGAGUUGACUGUUACUAAUCGGUCGAAAGCUU